UUUAAUUUAGAAUUAGAUGAAUUUGAUUUAGUUGCACCACCUCACCUGUAAAGUUAAUGUUAAAGGUACUGACCACAUUUGUAUCUGUGUGUGACCCCACCAAUCUGGCAAAGAACUCUAGUGAAUCGGAUAAUUGUUUGGUGUGGAAAGCAUUGAACGUUGUGGCGGGAAGCCAGCAAGAUGGCAGAGACAACAGCCUUUACAUCGUGGAAGUAUUCACAUUAUUUUGAAUUGGUAGAAUUAAAGGAGAAAAAAACAUAAUAAAAAUUGUGCCAACUUCAAAUAUCAAGAAGCACCUUCAGGCCAAGCACAGCUCCACAAGACUGGCGGAGAAAGACCCACGCCAGCCGAUCGCCGUUGAUGCUGAGGAUGACCGUGCUUGCUUCAAAACAGCAAAAUCUAGAUUUCUGUUCGGCUAAACCUGUCACCCUGAGAGAACUAAAUAAACAUGUAUAUGUCUUUGA